UUGCAGACAUUUGUCACUAACGUCCGAUAGACCCUGGUCAUCCCAUCCUUGGAAUCCUCCUGCGGUGAAGGCAGAGUUAGUCGGACAGAAUGAAGGAGACAGGCGGAAGAGAACAGAGAUCUUGGUGGCUCGUGCUAGCCCAGCUGAGAGGGCGCCACAGCAGUUACUGUUCUACUUGUCAUUUUGAAGAGUUCCAGGAAACCCAACAUUGGGUCCCCAUGCUGUAAUGAUGAGGAAGCAGUAGCACGACUGGAGUAAUUGAAUACAGCAUCUUCCUCAAACUGCAAGAAGUUGAUGAAAGCCACCCUCUGCCUGCAUUCGAGGCUCCUCCCUGAGACCGUGUCCUGCACAGUGUCGAUCCCUGCACCAUGCACAUGUUUGUGGACAGAGCGAGCUACUCCCUCACUUGAUCACCAAGGCAGGCAAGAGCCACCAUGUCUGACCAGAAACAAAGCCGGUGGCCAGAGUGUGACUGAUGGAAAUGGAAGGGUGUGACCACUCACAGUGAACUUCCAAAGUCCCCCGAAGUCAUCACUUCUCUCAAAGCAGGAGGGCGGAUAGGAAUGGAGAUAAUGAUACAGAAAGACAAGUCUCACUCCUAUGGACUGGGUAGGGAUCCUUAACCCUGUGCAGAGGCAGGACUGAUGGACAUACUGGAGAACAGAACCCCCUGGAGAGCCAUAUGGGCCAUUUUGGAGUCCAAGAAAAGACAGCUCAGACAGAAGAAAUUCAUCAACACACUUUGGAAACAAAGAGACAAACACUGUGGAUCCCUUUGGGUCCACCAGCUUCUAACAGGAAAUAAAUGGC